AACACCUCAAAGACAUUUCUGAUUUAUUUUCUGGAAAGGCCUUUGGACUUGAGCAAUCCCAACACCAGUCCUUUACGGAUCGGCGGAGGGUUGCUUGAAAUGCAGGUGCAGCUGGACAUUCUCCUGAGCUAUAAGCAUAUCUAUUUAGUCCCGUCAAACGGAUUAUUACUUUUGCUGCAGCUAACAUAAAGGGAGUCUGACCGUAUUGGCUGACUGAUGCAGGAUUUCACAGGGGUUGGAAACGACUCUUGUAAA
rnacentral:misc_RNA from 1 species